rnacentral:rRNA from 1 species
GACGAACGCUGGCGGCGUGCCUAAUACAUGCAAGUCGAACGAGAAAUUCUUACACCGGAUGCUUGCAUCCACCGUAAGAUUUCGAGUGGCGGACGGGUGAGUAACACGUGGGUAACCUGCCCUAAAGUGGGGGAUAACAUUUGGAAACAGAUGCUAAUACCGCAUAAACCUCAAAAGCACAUGCUUUUGAGUUGAAAGAUGGCGUAAGCUAUCGCUUUUGGAUGGACCCGCGGCGUAUUAGCUAGUUGGUGAGGUAAAGGCUCACCAAGGCUGUGAUACGUAGCCGACCUGAGAGGGUAAUCGGCCACAUUGGGACUGAGACACGGCCCAAACUCCUACGGGAGGCAGCAGUAGGGAAUCUUCCACAAUGGACGAAAGUCUGAUGGAGCAACGCCGCGUGAGUGAAGAAGGUUUUCGGAUCGUAAAACUCUGUUGUUGGAGAAGAACGUACGUGAGAGUAACUGUUCACGUAGUGACGGUAUCCAACCAGAAAGCCACGGCUAACUACGUGCCAGCCGCCGCCGUAAAAC